CCUGCAAACAGCUCCGGGCACACAAUGGUAAAUACAGGUGGGAACCGCCGCCUCCGUCAGCGCAGCGAUUGCAUCAGACUCCGGCACUUGCCAAGAGGCGAACGAGCCGGAUCACGGGCCACCGGCACCGCGGCGGGGCCGCGCUCGACCUUCACCACUCCUCCUCCGCGGUAUUAGUUUUUGCCGUCCUCGCCUCUUUUCUGCACCCCUGCAGUGUAGCUGGGGUGGUAAAAGUAACGCCGGACUUACUCGGCCAGGAGCAUUUUUCUCGUUCCAGCUGUUCUCCCUGAGGGUUUUCCAGGAAAGCAUCAGCAUUCCACAAGAGCCAAAGUAAAUCUGCUGCAUGGGGUAAAUCUUCUCCCCGAGAGGAGUUUCAAAGAAAGCACUGGCAACUGACUACUCAGUCCAGGGAGCCAGUGAGGUCUGAACAAGUCUUGUGCCAGAGUCUGGGAAUGUCGGGGUGGCUGCUCCGGGCAAGACGCUGGGAUCCAUCCACCACGGGGGAGGAGUGGUUUCUGGAUGGACACCUUCACCUGCCUCUCACCAUUCCCGGACAACCUGUGUCACUGCAUCCUACCCCACCCAGAGGUGCCAGAGGAUACCCUGCCCUGGGGAGCCUGGGGACAUCAAGCUGGGAGGACGGAGGAAAGUUCCCAGGGGCUGGUGAUCCAGGUGGUGCUUUUUGGAAGCUCCACAUGCUGCUUUUCUCUGUGGAAAUGCCCAUGGACAAGAAGUGUUUGGCAGGUGCUAGCUGCACCCUAAGCUCCUGUUCUCUGCUAUUGGGAUAGAGGCUGAAGCCAAUGUGGCUCCAGCUACACCUCUAGAUGGUCCCCGGGGCUCAGCAUCAUCUUCACUCCUUCCAUAUCAGAUGAGCACAGCAGCACACAAAAUAGCUGGCAGCCCAGGGUUAAUUCCUCCCAUACCUGAGCUGACAUUUCUAUUAAACAAUUAUGGAGAUUCCUACAGUAAUCCUAGAAGUUCCCAUCAAAGUCUGGGAGGCUCCCACCCCCCAGGGGGUUUUCCCACUCAGAGGUGCACCCCAGCUCCCUCCAUCCCAGCGAUGAAGCAGAAAAAACAAUCAAAAU